CCUGUCUCGAAAAAAACCAAAAGAUAAAAAUAAAUCACUGUGUAGACCUGUAGGGAGUAAUCCUGUUUAGAGGUAUUACUUGACCCCGCCUGCUUGGGGCUGGUUAGAGGUACCUCCGACCACGCCCACUUGGGCGUGGUCAGAGUGACAUGGGAAGGGUUUAAGUAGCAGAGAGGUACACUUGCACGUGGCCUUCUUCUCUCUGCUGCCUGGCUGAGCAGACAUCUGCGGGCCACUCCAGCUCCCGCAUAAACCCGAUCACUGGCUCUUGCGGUACCGAUCACUGCUUGUCAGCCCUGGGAUGGAUGGAGAUGUCAAGGCGUGGAUCAUUCCAGAGACUUGAGAAAGCUGAGGCAGGAGGAUUGCCAAGAACUGAGGCCAGCCUGGGCUAUGUGGGAAGUUCCAGCUAACUGAAUCGCAGAGUGAGACCCUAUUUAAAAAGAAAUGUCUGCUUGAAGAAGAUUAAUGUCUCCAUUGUAGCAUUGUGUGACCACCCCAGGAAGGAUCACAUUGGCCAAUCAGCUAAGGCUGUGUUAUUGAGCUUCGGGAGUCUGAAUGAAGGCCCAGGUGGACUGUAAAUAUUCAGUUGGGAGCGUAGUGAAGCUGGGAGGCAGGGUUUCUCUGUGUAACAGCCCUGGCUGUCUUGGAACUUACUCUGUAGACCAGGCUGGCCUCAAACUCAGAGAUCUGCCUGCCUCUGCCUCCUGAGUGUGUGCCAUGUAGCCGCUGGAGAAGCAAGAUGUACGGCUAAUAUGGUUUGAUUGAGCAAGACCCCCAGAGAGGUCUCCAAUGGGAGCUAUAACCCAGAAGAUCCAGCAUCUAGAACAGCUUCCAGGCUACUGGCUGAGAUGGACCAACCAUACAAAAUACCCAAAGUGAGGACUUGACCAAAAUUCUAAAUUUUCUCAGGAUCCCCGUGAGAGUACCAGCACCCCUAAUCAGCAGAAAGUAGUCUUAGAAAACUACACCCAAAUCCCCAAAUAUUGUCUAUAAUUGUUAGUUUUCAUUUAAAGUGGGUUGAUUAUAAAUGGUUAAUGGUCACAAUCAAUCCCUUUCUAAAGAAAAAAAAGGGAAUGUGAUACAGAAAUGAAUACAUUUGUAUGGAUUUUGGUUUAUCUGCUGAACUUGCCAAAAGAAGGUAGGACGGUCUUUCAGGAAUCAUACUCAAAUGAAAGAGUCUGUCAGACAUGCUGUAGGACACAGAAGAAAGCAACUGACAAAUUUUGACAAAAUAGGUGGGACAGUCUGCCAGAAACUCUAGGCCUGUAGGUUGAAGAUAGAUGUCCCAAUGUCAAAAAAAAAACUUUGGGUGACUCUUCAGGCAGCCAGAUAUCUCUGCCAUUUCUAGAGUUUUGGAAGUUGCUUACGAUGCAUUUCCAGUUUACUUAGGUAAUAUUAUAUCCUUCUGGGGUCUUUGAUGGAGUUGAAGUCAGAUAGUUAUAAUUUUCCAUAGUUAUGAUAAAAUACAAAUUAGAUAUAAAACUUUAGAUUCACAAAAAUAAAAUAGAUAAUAAAAUAUUUAAUUUUGCCAAAUACAAAGAGAC
rnacentral:lncRNA from 1 species